GAUUGCCAUUAAGCUAAAAGUCCAGAAGCAGAGCAUUGUGUCCCUCUUGGAGAGAGUCUUGUUGGGAGGUGAACUCAAAGUAAUCAAGAGAAAUAAGACAAAAGGGUGACAUUUUCAGCAGUGUUUACAAAAUAUGAAUUUGUUGUGGUGUGUCAUCACUAUCAAUAUUGUUUAUCUCGAGACAAGUGUUUAUUCUUGAAGCCAUAGAGACGUUAUCAACUUGAGCAACUGACAUACUCAAGCAAAACGGGUCAAUGCCAACAUGGAGUACAUUCUAAAUGAAAGAGUUGUACUAAAUAUAUACGUGAUAUUAUAUCUUCCAGGUUAUUCUCAAAACUACUGGGUUCAGUAUCAUAUUUUUAUUAUGAAGAAACAUGCAGAGAAGUACGAUUUAUGUGUGUGUGUGUGUGUGUGUGUGUGUGUGUGUGUGUGUGUGUGUACAUAUAUAUAUAUAUAUAUACACUGUAUAUAAAAACUAUUAAAUCUGACUUAGAUUUGCUGAAAAGGUUUUAUUUAAAACAGUAGUGAUUUCAUAUAUUUGCUUUUCUUUUUAU